UACGACUCGCCGGGCGGGAGAGGCCAUGUCUGUUCUUGCGAUGCGAGUGAGAGGAUCUCCUCGCGAAGCAACGGCAACGCCAUGGGGCAGUGAUAGCAUAGCGAACCGUCGCCUAGCGAUUCAGUCAUCGGCGAUAGAUAUCAUUGUUGGCCAGUUACUAUUCGAUUGGUGCUCUUACAGAUCCAUAUGGUCUCGACAAUCGCGUUGUUCCUCUCCGCCUCCAGCUACUUACUUCGGCAUGUUGAUACUUCAUCUUCUUUGUUCCACUUUCCCCCAAUUCUUUCUCCAUCAAAUUUCAGAAUUUAUCUUAUUGAUUGAUGUUGUUCUUUCUACCCCCAAAUGAAUAGAAGGUGCUCCGAGUUGACGAAUUCCAGGUCGUUUCCGAUGGGCUGGGUUGUUCCUUGCCGCUGUAAUGGCGAACUGUCAGGUUAUUAUCCGUGUCAUCUUACUAUUCGUGCUCAGCCUGCUGCAUGCACAGGGUAUCUACAGUUGGACGGUAUUGUUUUGAUUCAUCACUACGAUUGGGUUCUUAAUCUAUAUCCCGUUUGGGAAUUUUUGUCUCAUGAUGGAUUAUUCAGUGGAGGGGACUGUUCUAGGAAUCCGAGGGACGAUGGCAUAUGGAGCAACUUCUUCUGUUUAUCUUUUUGGACAACAACUUUACAUGCUUCCGAAGACUCUAACUGAAGGUACAUACAUACAUACCUAUAUGAGGUAUCCAUGCCAAAAUAAAGUCAAGUACGUCAUGGAUUGGAUCCAUACCCAGCUUGGCCAUGAACCAACAUUCUCUCAAAAGCUUGGCGCUCCCUUCCCUCUAAACUUCUGUGUUUUUUCAUCAAGACGAUGUUCAGAUGCAGUCUAUGCGCACGCACAUAUGGCGCUUAGCGUUUCCAAAUGGUUGUGAAGCUCAACACUUUUGAUAAACACUUUGUGCUCUUUAUGUGGUGAUGCACGUUCUUAAUAUGCAUUAUGUUUCACAUCUGACCAAUUUUUGUGACAUGAUUAGUGUCUCGUGGCAUAUUGUUUUUAGGGAAAUGAAGGAGAUCAGAUAAAUUUUCUCGACAAAGCCAAGCAUGUUUUUAAAGUCAUGUAAGGUGGUAGCAUGUAAGGAUCUUCAGUCACUAUUUUUGCAGCAUGUUCUGGAUGUAAAUCGGAUGCCUGAUGCCAUGUAUAAUAGAAUACAAAUACGCAGA